rnacentral:rRNA from 1 species
UACAGAGGUCCCAAGCGUUGUUCGGAUUCACUGGGCGUAAAGGGUGCGUAGGUGGUGAGGUAAGUCUGAUGUGAAAUCUCCGAGCUCAACUCGGAAAUGGCAUUGGAAACUACUUGGCUAGAGGAGUGGAGGGGGGACUGGAAUUCUCGGUGUAGCAGUGAAAUGCGUAGAGAUCGAGAGGAACACCAGUGGCGAAGGCGAGUCCCUGGACACUUCCUGACGCUGAGGAGCGAAAGUGUGGGGAGCGAACAGG